UACUGGAUAUGUGACGUGACCGCAUGGUCUGCGUCUGGAAAGAAUUUCGGUUGGGGAUGGGCUCGCGGCCUAUCAGCUUGUUGGUGAGGUAAUGGCUCACCAAGGCGUCGACGGGUAGCCGGCCUGAGAGGGUGACCGGCCACACUGGGACUGAGACACGGCCCAGACUCCUACGGGAGGCAGCAGUGGGGAAUAUUGCACAAUGGGCGCAAGCCUGAUGCAGCAACGCCGCGUGAGGGACGACGGCCUUCGGGUUGUAAACCUCUUUUAGCAGGGAAGAAGCGAAAGUGACGGUACCUGCAGAAAAAGCGCCGGCUAACUACGUGCCAGCAGCCGCGGUAAUACGUAGGGCGCAAGCGUUAUCCGGAAUUAUUGGGCGUAAAGAGCUCGUAGGCGGUUUGUCGCGUCUGCUGUGAAAUCCGGAGGCUCAACCUCCGGCCUGCAGUGGGUACGGGCAGACUAGAGUGCGGUAGGGGAGAUUGGAAUUCCUGGUGUAGCGGUGGAAUGCGCAGAUAUCAGGAGGAACACCGAUGGCGAAGGCAGAUCUCUGGGCCGUAACUGACGCUGAGGAGCGAAAGGGUGGGGAGCAAACAGGCUUAGAUACCCUGGUAGUCCACCCCGUAAACGUUGGGAACUAGUUGUGG
rnacentral:rRNA from 1 species